GACUCUCGACAACGGAUAUCUCGGCUCUCGCAUUGAUGAAGAAUGUAGCAAAAUAUUAUACUUGGUGUGAAUUGCAGAAUCCCGUGAACCAUCGAGUCUUUGAACGCAAAUUAUGCCCGAAGCCAUUAGGCCAAGGGCACGUCUGCCUGGGCAUCA
rnacentral:rRNA from 1 species